rnacentral:rRNA from 1 species
UACGGAGGGUGCGAGCGUUGUCCGGAAUCACUGGGCGUAAAGGGCUCGUAGGCGGUUCGUCACGUCGGGAGUGAAAACUCGGGGCUUAACCCCGAGCCUGCUUCCGAUACGGGCAGACUAGAGGUAGGCAGGGGAGAGCGGAACUCCUGGUGUAGCGGUGGAAUGCGCAGAUAUCAGGAAGAACACCGGUGGCGAAGGCGGCUCUCUGGGCCUUACCUGACGCUGAGGAGCGAAAGCGUGGGUAGCGAACAGG